GACGAACGCUGGCGGCGUGCCUAAUACAUGCGAGUUGAGCGAUGAAGAUUGGUGCUUGCACCAAUUUGAAGAGCAGCGAACGGGUGAGUAACGCGUGGGGAAUCUGCCUUUGAGCGGGGGGCAACAUUUGGAAACGAAUGCUAAUACCGCAUAACAACUUUAAACAUAAGUUUUAAGUUUGAAAGAUGCAAUUGCAUCACUCAAAGAUGAUCCCGCGUUGUAUUAGCUAGUUGGUGAGGUAAAGGCUCACCAAGGCGAUGAUACAUAGCCGACCUGAGAGGGUGGUCGGCCACAUUGGGACUGGGACACGGCCCAAACUCCUACGGGAGGCAGCAGUAGGGAAUCUUCGGCAAUGGACGAAAGUCUGACCGAGCAACGCCGCGUGAGUGAAGAAGGUUUUCGGAUCGUAAAACUCUGUUGGUAGAGAAGAACGUUGGUGAGAGUGGAAAGCUCAUCAAGUGACGGUAACUACCCAGAAAGGGACGGCUAACUACGUG
rnacentral:rRNA from 1 species